rnacentral:rRNA from 1 species
GAUUAACGCUGGCGGCGUGCAUAACACAUGCAAGUCGAACGAUGAAACUUAAAAGAUUUCUUCGGAAUGAACUUAAGUGAAUUAGUGGCGAACGGGUGAGUAACGCGUGAGUAACCUGCCUUACACAAGGGGAUAGCCUCUGGAAACGGAGAAUAAUACCCUAUGAAACUAUCUUAUCGCAUGAAUAGAUAGUCAAAGUGUUUUAGCGGUGUAAGAUGGACUUGCGUCUGAUUAGCUAGUUGGUGAGAUAACAGCCCACCAAGGCAACGAUCAGUAGCCGGCUUGAGAGAGUGUACGGCCACAUUGGGACUGAGACACGGCCCAGACUCCUACGGGAGGCAGCAGUGGGGAAUUUUGCACAAUGGGGGCAACCCUGAUGCAGCGACGCCGCGUGAUUUAGAAGGCCUUCGGGUUGUAAAAAUCUUUUGUAUAGGAAGAAAAUGACAGUACUAUACGAAUAAGGUCCGGCUAAUUACGUGCCAGCAGCCGCGGUAAUACGUAAGGACCGAGCGUUGUCCGGAAUCAUUGGGCGUAAAGGGUACGUAGGCGGUUAGAAAAGUUAGAAGUGAAAGGCUAUAGCUCAACUAUAGUAAGCUUUUAAAACUGUUUAACUUGAGAGAUGGAAGGGAAAGUGGAAUUCCUAGCGUAGCGGUGAAAUGCGCAGAUAUUAGGAGGAAUACCGGUGGCGAAGGCGACUUUCUGGCCAUUAUCUGACGCUGAGGUACGAAAGCGUGGGUAGCAAACAGG